CAACUCCGGUAUAGCGUCCGGAAACGGACGGUAAUCCCGGAUGGUCCCUGUAUCGGGAAUCCGACUCAGGGUAAAGAUGGGGAUCUUCGGACCUUUCGGUCGGGGAGGGGCCUAUGUCCCAUCAGCUUGUUGGUGAGGUAAUGGCUCACCAAGGCGAUGACGGGUAGCCGGACUGAGAGGUCGACCGGUCACACUGGGACUGAGACACUGCCCAGACUCCUACGGGAGGCUGCAGUCGAGAAUCUUCCGCAAUGGGCGCAAGCCUGACGGAGCGACGCCGCGUGGGGGAUGAAGGCCUUCGGGUUGUAAACCCCUGUCACGAGUUAUGAAACACCAUGCGAUAAUACCGUAUGGUUUGACGAAGGCUCGAGAGGAAGUCAUGGCUAACUCCGUGCCAGCAGCCGCGGUAAUACGGAGAUGGCAAGCGUUGCUCGGAAUCACUGGGCAUAAAGGGCGUCUAGGCGGAUCGGCAAGUCGGCUGUGAAAGUCCUCGGCUCACCCGAGGAAGUGCAUCCGAAACUGUCGGUCUUGAGGGCGAGAGGGGAGAGUGGAACUCCUGGUGGAGCGGUGAAAUGCGUAGAUAUCAGGAGGAACGCCGGUGGCGAAAGCGACUCUCUGGCUCGUCCCUGACGCUGAAGCGCGAAAGCUAGGGGAGCGAACGGGAUUAGAUACCCCGGUAGUCCUAGCCGUAAACGAUGAGCACUAAGUAGUGGCGUAUCGAUGACGUCAUUGCCGCAGCUAAUGUGUUAAGUGCUCCGCCUGGGGAGUAUGGUCGCAAGGCUAAAACUCAAAGGAAUUGACGGGGGCUCACACAAGCGGUGGAGGAUGUUGCUUAAUUCGAAUCAACGCGAAGAACCUUACCUGGGCUUGACAUCACGGUGGUAAAACCCUGAAAGGGGAAUGACCCGGGGCAACCUGGGAGCCGCGACAGGUGUUGCAUGGCUGUCGUCAGCUCGUGCCGUGAGGUGUUGGGUUAAGUCCCGUAACGAGCGAAACCCUUGUCGUUAGUUGCCAGCGGGUAAUGUCGGGGACUCUAACGAGACUGCCGGUGUCAAACCGGAGGAAGGUGGGGACGACGUCAAGUCAUCAUGGCCCUUACGCCCAGGGCUGCAAACGUCCUACAAUGGCGCGUACAAAGGGAAGCAAACUCGCAAGAGCUAGCCAAUCCCAGAAAGCGCGUCCCAGUUCGGAUUGUGGGCUGAAAUUCGCCCACAUGAAGUCGGAAUCGCUAGUAAUCGCGGAUCAGCAUGCCGCGGUGAAUAUGUUCCUGAGCCUUGUACACACCGCCCGUCAAGCCACGGAAGCCGGGAGUGCCCGAAGCCCGUGACCUAACCUUUGGAAGGAGCGGUCGACGGUAAGCCCGGUGACUGGGACUAA
rnacentral:rRNA from 1 species